GAUUUCAGGAAAUGUACUCUGUGGUCCAUUUUUUGGCGGAAAAUGAUGUUGCAGUUGUUCCUACCUGUUGGGCGUGCAAUGGCCGCACGGCAUGGCCACCCUACAGAUCAAAUCGGUUGAUGAUGGCAAUUGAGAGCGUGAAGAGCCCUUUACUGACCGGGCCACAUUCUCCUGUCAGGUGAUGGCAUCAUGUUUGACAUAUGAAGAUGCAAAGUUCAAAGAAAAAAAAUCCGGAAGCGACGUCCGACCUAUCAACGAAUAAUGAAGAGCGGGAGAAAAGAAAAAGGAAGAGACUGCUCCUUUUCCGUCAAGCUUGCCUCUUCUGCAGGAACGACCUAGCACUCAGCCAGCCCCUCAACUUCCAGAACGUGCACCAGUGCCCAAGCAAAAACGCACACGUGAGCAGCGUGCCUCUUCCCAGGAGUGACUGAGGGGCUGCCACAAGGGGAGAAGGCAAGCAUGUUUCUGAUUACAAGAAUGGACAGUUGGGCUGGGCUAGUUGGUAAGAAUUGAUGUUGAAAAACGGUGCAAAAACCAGACAAAGAGAAAAGAACACACAGCACCUUGUCCUGUGUGUUCUCUUAUCCGUGCAUUUUGCACUGUUUUUCAGCAUGUUUCUGCCUUGAUUUUUCUGUUAUAGUUUUAAAUGUCUGUAGUUGGUUACUUUGAUCCCUGUUGGAAGCAUGGAAUUGGUUAACCGUCUUAAAUGCAUGGAAUUGAAAAAAAAAAUUCAUGUUACCUAAAUCAUUUAAAAGCUUUUUUUUCUGCUGCUUGCUUUAUGUUGCUGGGAAUUUUAAUAUUUUGCAUUUUUAUUUCCAUGCAGAUCAGCCUUGUAAUUUAGCGUGUUCUUUAUAAUUUUGUAGAUCUAAUAGCUUGUAAGAAACAGAAGUAUACACUGG